AUUGCUGCCCACUGGCAGAGGGUCAGGCUGACAUCUUCAGGAGGCAUAUGGAGGUAAUGGUUAACUUUCCUACAGUGAAGACCAAGGUAAAUUGGGUGCACUAAAGAGAAAAACCUGACCACUUCUGCAGCUGUGCGUCUGGAGUCUGAGUUGUACUGCGACAUUAGCUCUUUUGACUAGAUGUGAUGACAGACUGUCUUUGGUCCAUUCUCUUUUAUUACCUUGGAAGAGAAUAAAUGAGUAAUAGUUCUCAGCCAUUGCAGCUGAGGCAUCACACCUGUAAUGGGAUUAACAAGAUGAUAAUUCGCCUUUUGCCAAGACCACAAACUAGUAGCAGCUAUUACUAACAAAGAAAAGACUGCUUCUGUAAUACAACAAUAAAUUUAUUGAACUAAAAGUUGAGACUGACAUCUGAGCACAUUGGGCUCCUCAUACCUCUGAAUAAACAGGCAAAUAAAUGAGUUACUAUACCAGCAGAGGGGUACAAGCAAUUUUCCAGUCUUGACCCUUUAUCUGUUGACCAGGCUAAGGCAGAAACCAGCUAAAUUCUGGAUUUAAUCUUGAGCAGCCAAAAAGAUCAGCUUUUGAAGUGGAUCUGCUUUUAUUCUUGGCAAAAGUUUGGCGGAGACCAACCGGAGUGGUGACAAAGUUCUUCAACAUCAAGCCAAAUGUAAUACAAGGAAUUAUGGAUAGUGCUUAAUCUAAAAUAAAGAAAUUCCACAUCUCCCUAAAAAGUUAUUGGCUUCAAGAAUGAAAACAAAAGAAGCAUAUUUGUCUCAAUCCAAACACAGACACCAGAAAGACAAACCAGGACUACACAGCAAAGUAGCUUGCAGGAUAAUACAUUGAAAAAUUUAAUUGUGCAUAAAUCAUGCACAAAGUAGAUACCACAAAUUCUGUAUUUGGCAAGGCUUCGGUUCCUUUGCAUAAUUCUUUCAUUUUCAUCUUGCUGCUUCCAUUCUUUUCAUCGAAAAAACUACAUAAAACAAAGACAUAAACUGUAUGCAAUUAAAAUGAGAAAAUAGCUGAAAGGAAUGUAUUGAUAAUUAUGUUAAAAUCUAUACCAUAAGUAUUCUUGCAUUGUUAGGCAUCUAAUUUUUCAUGUGUUGACAUCAGCAUCUCAGUUCUCUCUAACAUCUGAAAGCUUUUUUUUUUUUAAGACAACUUCUUUUAGAGUGAACAAACUUAUGUAUCACCGAGUUGACAAAAGUAUAACUAUAUCCUACAGAAAAAGACCUCAAGUAAACCUCCAGCAGCCAUCUGGACUUCCAUGAAAACAGAACAAUCAGUGAGACGCAGAACUUGGAGGAGACAGUUCCCAUAGACUGAAGCACGUGCUGAAGCAAAGCUCACACUUGCAGGAUUAGAAGAGGUUGACCGAAAGAAGGAAGGACAUGGACAGCUAUGUUGUUGUGGAGUCCUGUUUUAUAGUCAUAACCUUGAGUCAAGUGGGUUUGUCUGGACAGACAGAAUGUGUUGCCUUUACUUAUAGGGAAGGCACCGGACAUAGACAGCCUCAAGGACAUUUGGUCUAGCCUUUCAGUAUCCUUUCUCUUAAUUAUCUUACCUCAUCCAUGAAGCUGGUAUGUACGAUUUUUCCUUUCUUUCUCAAUCCUUUAAAAAAUUAAAGCUCUAAAUCUC
rnacentral:lncRNA from 1 species